rnacentral:rRNA from 1 species
GUACGCUAUUCAGAGUUUGAUCCUGGCUCAGGAUGAACGCUGGCGGCGUGCUUAACACAUGCAAGUCGAACGAAGCACCUUGAGAUCUUCGGAUGGAUGGGUGACUGAGUGGCGGACGGGUGAGUAACGCGUGGGUAACCUGCCUCAUACAGGGGGAUAACAGUUAGAAAUGACUGCUAAUACCGCAUAAGCGCACGGAACCGCAUGGUUCUGUGUGAAAAACUCCGGUGGUAUGAGACGGACCCGCGUCUGAUUAGCUAGUUGGUGGGGUAACGGCCUACCAAGGCGACGAUCAGUAGCCGACCUGAGAGGGUGACCGGCCACAUUGGGACUGAGACACGGCCCAA